AUAACAUUCUACUCUAGAAUUUUGGAAUGAUGAUCAAGCAUUCUGUCUUCCUCAUCUACAUGUUUUAGUAAUGGAGUUAAUGAGAUACAUGUGUAUUACUCUUUGCUCUGGUAAAUGGAGUGGCUGUCUCAGUAAUGGAGAGUCAGUGAGAUACAUACACAUCUACUAUUCUGCAGCCAGGUAAGAGGCAGAAAUUAUUUACAUUUUAGUGUGGCUGCAAGGAGGGCUAGAAUUUUUUGCCUUUUUUUUCUUGCUUCAGACUUGAGAGAUGCCGUUUCAGAUCCCUGGAUUCACCCCAUUUUGUUCGGGAAAAAGACAAAAAAAUCAAUUCACCCAGGAAAGCUAGAAUUAGGUGAGGAGUCAAGGGAGAGAGAUGUGCUUCCAUGUAUGGCAUUCUCCUCUAGCUGCUAUGAGGUCAGAGCCCAGCAAGCAGAUCCUCUGAGAGAAGAGCAUGUGCCCUGAAUGUGUUUCUUUGAUCAGCAAUAACCCUAUUUAUGCCUGCUCCUACUACCCUCUUCCAGCACACACAGGGUUAAACGUCAACAUAAAUAGCUUUGGACACAGUUAUGAAGGUAGAUAAAGACAGUAAACUCCGAAUUUAUUUUUUAUGCCUUUUCCUUCACAGAGGAGGAAAGUAAAUUGAUUCCUCUCUAGCUAUGAAAGUCCCAAUAACUCCUUUUCUCAGGGGGUGUUUGCCCAGAGACCUUAAGAAGUAUUAUGGACCGUAGAUCAUUUACUGCCCUAACUUCCAUACAAUAGGAUAGAAUUCUAAAGACAAGGUAGGAAGCAUUAAGUCUUGGUAAGUGUGCUUUGAGAAAAGUUGAUUUUACCCCUUUUGAAGAGAAAAGUCUGAAGUAUUACUGUUCCAUUCCCUCAUUGUCAUCAUUUCCAGCACCCUGUUUUAGAAAGUAAAUGUAAUCCUCAGCCAGAAUUGGAACAUGUCCAUAAAGAAAAGCUCCCUGUUUUUACCUGCUUCUGAUAUCAUUGUAACCCCAG
rnacentral:lncRNA from 1 species